rnacentral:ncRNA from 1 species
CCCGAAAGAUGGUGAACUAUGCCUGAGCGGGGCGAAGCCAGAGGAAACUCUGGUGGAGGCUCGAAGCGAUACUGACGUGCAAAUCGUUCGUCUGACUUGGGUAUAGGGGCGAAAGACUAAUCGAACGCUCUAGUAGCUGGUUCCCUCCGAAGUUUCCCUCAGGAUAGCUGGAGCCCAUUACGAGUUCUAUCAGGUAAAGCCAAUGAUUAGAGGCAUUGGGGACGCAACGUCCUCGACCUAUUCUCAAACUUUAAAUAGGUAGGAUGGCUCGGC